rnacentral:rRNA from 1 species
GGACUACUCGGGUUUCUAAUCCCGUUCGCUCCCCUGGCUUUCGCACAUGAGCGUCAGUUACGAGCCAGAACGCUGCCUUCGCCUUUGGUGUUCUUCCAGAUCUCUACGCAUUUCACCGCUCCACCUGGAAUUCCGCGUCCCUCUCUCGUCCUCAAGUCUGGUAGUUUUCCGAGGCCUGUGGCAGUUAAGCCACCACCUGUCACUCGAAACUUACAAGACCGCCUGCGUGCGCUUUACGCCCAAUAAAUCCGGACAGCGCUUGCCCCCUACGUAUUACCGCGGCGGCUGGCAC